UUUGGGUAUUCGUAAAAUAAUUAAAUAAUUUCUUCAUCAGUUCCAAAAAUAGAAGACAGAAAUACAAUAAUUCCUAUGGCAGCCGUGUGGUCUCUUCUCAUGCUCCUUUCUUCAUUCUUUGUGGCUAGAGGAGUUGAAGACAAGCAUUCAAAAGGCACCAUUGGGCUGGGAUAUUCGCUUUCCCCCUUAACUCCACCCACCUCAUUGGCUUCGCCUUCUGGUCGUUUCGCAUUUGGUUUUUACAGUCAAGGCAAUGGCUUUUCAAUUGGAGUUUGGCUGGAGGGCAAUGGAAAGACAGAUAACAAAGUUGUAUGGACAGCAAACCGUGAUGACCCGCCGCUCCAUGCAACUGCUACUCUGACACUAAACGAGAAAGGUUUGCUUCUUUCGAGCGGUGUGAGCGGAGAAAAUAAAGUUAUUGCUUAUCCAAAUGACUCGGCUGUCAAUGUCUUCUCUGCCUCCAUGCUAGAUUCAGGCAAUUUUGUGCUCUACAACAAAGUCAAUCAUACCAUUUGGGAGAGUUUCGAGCAUCCUACAGAUACCCUUUUAGAUGGUCAGGCUCUAUUAACUGGUCACUGGUUGAUCUCCAGUUCUUCAGAGAAAGAUCACUCAGGUGGAAGGUUUCUUCUAAGUAUGCAAGGAGAUGGGAAUCUCGUUCUAUACCCUCUAGACGUCGAUGAUGAUAUUACAACUGCCUAUUGGGCCACAGAUACUGGUGGUGUGCAUCGUUCACUCCUAUUAUUUUUAACUCGACAGGCUUCCUACAACUUAUCGACAACAUUGAUUCCUCCAUCUACCGAGAAAUUAAUUCCAGAUUUUAUCCAGAGGUGAGCUACAAUGACCACAACGAGAACACCACCACCACCACCAGCAACGACAGUAUCGUUCACAGUGCAAGCCUUGAUGUUGAUGGAAAUUUCCGGUUAUAUACCCAUCAAUUUUAGCCAAGUGGUGGAUUUCGAACUUCCCGAGUGUCGCGUGCGUUGGAGGAUUCCUGUAAAGUUAUAGGCUUUUGUGGUAUCAAUAGCUAUUGCACGUUUAAUGAUGACAGAGCUUACUGUGCAUGCCUUCCCGGCACUGAUUUUAUCGAUCCUCAACGCAAUACCCUCGGCUGCAAGAGAAAUUAUAGUGAAGCACAUUGUAAAGGAGGGAAGGACAAUAUACCGCUUUAUGACAUCACUCCAUUGCAAAAUAUGGUAUGGCAUACAGGUAUAUUUUACAGUGAAGAUCUAAUGUCCAUGAGUGGCUGCCGCCAAACAUGCUUGGAAGACUGUAAUUGUGAGGCAGCACAGUUUAGCGAUGGAGUUUGCAGGAAACAAAAGCUUCCACUAUGGCAUUUGCUACGACAACAAGGUGCUAAUGACGAGAGUUCCACUUCCACAGCUUUCUUGAAGAUGGGAAUCAGAAGCCUAGAAGCAGAUGACGGUGCUGUUCCCGAUGAAUUAAAGCCCAAUAUCAAACGGAAAGAUCCGACGCUGAAAAUUCUUCUUUUAACUUUCAGUCUUGUCGCAUGUUCAUGUGCUUUGCUUGCAAUCUCUGGUGUAUUCAUUUUUAAAUUUCGAGUUCUAAGAUACAAAAGGCUGUUGGAAAUUGGAAAUUUGGGCCUAACUGGAGAGCUUACGUUGAUAUCGUUUUCAUACAAUGAACUCAAGAGAGCAACGAAUGGUUUUAAAGAAGAGUUGGGUAAGGGAUCCUUUGGAGCAGUCUACAAAGGGUCCUUAAACAGAGGAAGAAAUUUGAUUGCAGUAAAGCGAUUGGAGAAGUUAGUGGAAGAAGGAGAAAGAGAGUUCCAAGCAGAAAUGCGAGCAAUUGCCAGAGCUCACCACAAGAAUUUAGUUCGACUUUUGGGAUACUGUGCUGAGGACUCCAAGAGGGUGUUGGUGUAUGAGUACAUGGGCAAUGGCUCCCUUGCUGAUCUACUGUUCAAGUCAAGACAGAGCCCUGAUUGGGAUGAAAGAACAAGAAUAGCCUUGGAUGUAGCUAGAGGAAUCCUCUAUUUACAUGAGGAGUGUGAGACCCCAGUCAUUCACUGUGACAUAAAGCCGCAAAACAUAUUGAUGGAUGAUUAUUGGAGAGCUAAAAUUUCAGACUUCGGGCUGGCAAAACUGUUGAUGGGGGAUCAUACAAGGACCUUCACAGUAGUGAGGGGAACUAGAGGAUACAUGGCCCCAGAAUGGCAUAAGAAUGUUCCAAUAUCAGCGAAGGCUGACAUUUACAGUUACGGAAUUGUGCUAUUGGAAACUGUGUUUUGCAGACGAAACUUGGACACCACUGUAUCAAACCCAGAGGAGAUCAUUCUGUCGGUUUUGGUGUAUAAAUGUCUGGUUGAAAAAAAGUUGGAUAAGCUUGUGCUUGGUGAAGAAGUAGAUAAGAAAAGCUUGGAAAGAAUGGUGAUGGUGGCACUUUGGUGUAUCCAAGAUGAACCAGCACUUCGUCCUUCCAUCAAGACUGUAGUGAUGAUGCUGGAAGGCAUUACUGAUAUAUGCGCUCCCCCAUGUCCAACUGCUUCCUCCAUAUAAUUCAAGUCACGACCCAGCAAUCAAUCAUCUCCCUCAGAGUGUUCGUGUAGUUUAUGUUACGUAAGGACAUCUAUAUAACUAGGAAGGAACUAAUGACCUAGAAAAAUGGUUAAAUUUCAAUUUAGUCCCUCUAUUAUACUUAAAUUUGAGAUUGAAUCUCCAUACUUUGGUCCUUUUAUUUUUAUAAUGUUAUUAAUAACUCCAAAUAGUUAAUAUAAUUAACUUUUCAAUUAAGAUGUUAUGUGUUUAUAUAUAAUUUAAAUGUUCUAAGGGUCUCAAAG